AGAUUGAACGCUGGCGGCAUGCUUUACACAUGCAAGUCGAACGGUAACAGGCCGCAAGGUGCUGACGAGUGGCGAACGGGUGAGUAAUGCAUCGGAACGUGCCCAGUCGUGGGGGAUAACGCAGCGAAGGCUGUGCUAAUACCGCAUACGAUCUAUGGAUGAAAGCGGGGGACCGAAAGGCCUCGCGCGAUUGGGAGCGGCCGAUGUCAGAUUAGCUAGUUGGUGGGUAAAGGCCCACCAAGGCGACGAUCUGUAGCUGGUCUGAGAGGACGACCAGCCACACUGGAACUGAGACACGGUCCAGACUCCUACGGAGGCAGCAGUGGGGAAUUUUGGACAAGUGGGCGCGAAGCCUGAUCCAGCAAGUGCCGCGGUAGCGAGGAAAGAAGGCCCGUUUCGGGUUCGGUUAAAC
rnacentral:rRNA from 1 species